rnacentral:sRNA from 12 species
CCUUGGAAGAGUUAUAUCAAACUAGAGUAGAUUUUAUCGAAAUAGGACUUUAUGAAUAAGGAA